rnacentral:lncRNA from 1 species
GUUAAAAUUUUGUAAUGAUUAUAUGACCAUAAAGUAAAAUAAAAGUGGUACAAUAAUAAUUUCCCUAUAUUUAUUAAUAUUAUAUGUGAAGGGAUAUCUUGCAAGAAAGGAUCAUUGCUUAUUAUCUAUUUAUUGUUUGUCACCUACGUAUGAAUAUUACUACCAUGGGUAUCUUUACGUUCAAAAUAGUGAAUGGAAAAUAAAAAAACGAUCAUGGAGCAACAUGAUCAGCCAACACCUUCUCAUGAACCAACACAUAUCUUUCUCUUAAUUUAUUUUAAUUUUAUAUGUGAAGGGAUACCUAGCAAGAAAAGAUCAUUGGUUAUUUACCUGUUUAGUGUUUGCCACAUAUGUAUGACUAUUAUCAUCAUUAGUAUUUACGCUUUCAAAAUAGUGAAUGGAAGACAAGAAAUAACAUGGAGUAUGAUCAAUCAACACCUUUUUGUGCAUCUACAAAGAUCUUUGACUUAAUGAUUUGCGUCUUUUUACGAUGCCGUAAUUUUUUUACAUCAUCAAUAAUAUAAGAAAUAUAUACCAUUAGAUCUAAUCAAUGUACUAUUAUCUAUAUUAAUAAAAA